AGGGUUCGAUUCUGGCUCAGGAUUAACGCUGGCGGCGUGCCUAAUACAUGCAAGUCGAAUGGUUAGCUUGCUAACCAUGGCGAACGGGUGAGUAACACGUAGGCAACCUGUCUAAGAGACGAGGAUAACCAUUGGAAACGAUGGAUAAUACUGGAUAAGAUAUUGGGAGGCAUCUUCUGAUAUUUAAAGAUUUAUCGCUAAUAGAGGGGCCUGCGGCGCAUUAGCUAGUUGGUGAGGUAACGGCCCACCAAGGCGAUGAUGCGUAGCCGGACUGAGAGGUUGAACGGCCACAAUGGGACUGAGAACGGCCCAUACUCCUACGGGAGGCAGCAGUAGGGAAUUUUCGGCAAUGGACGAAAGUCUGAACCCGAGCAACGCCGCGUGAACGAAGAAGUAUUUCGGUAUGUAAAGUUCUUUUAUUUGGGAAGAAAAUACAUUGACUGUACCAAAUGAAUAAGCUCCGGCUAACUACGUGCCAGCAGCGGC
rnacentral:rRNA from 1 species